rnacentral:rRNA from 1 species
AGGGCACCACCAGGAGUGGAGCCUGCGGCUUAAUUUGACUCAGCACGGGAAAACUCACCCGGCCCGGACACCGUAAGGAUUGACAGAUUGAGAGCUCUUUCUUGAUUCGGUGGUUGGUGGUGCAUGGCCGUUCUUAGUUGGUGGAGCGAUUUGUCUGGUUUAUUCCGAUAACGAGCGAGACUCUAGCCUACUAAAUAGUGACCGGAUAGCUUGGUCCGGGUCACUUCUUAGAGGGACAAGCGGUGUUCAGCCGCAAUAAGUUGAGCAAUAACAGGUCUGUGGUGCCCUUAGAUGUCCGGGGCUGCACGCGCGCUACACUGGAGGAAUCAGCGUGCUUGACCCAUUGCCGAAAGGCAUUGGUAAACCCUUGAAAAUCCUCCGUGAUCGGGAUCGGGAAUUGCAAUUAUUUCCCUUGAACGAGGAAUUCCCAGUAAGUGUGAGUCAUCAGCUCACGUUGAUUACGUCCCUGCCCUUUGUACACACCGCCCGUCGCUGCCCGGGACUGAGCCGUUUCGAGAA